rnacentral:rRNA from 1 species
GACGAACGCUGGCGGCGUGCUUAACACAUGCAAGUCGAACGGAAAGGCCCUGCUUUUGUGGGGUGCUCGAGUGGCGAACGGGUGAGUAACACGUGAGUAACCUGCCCUUGACUUUGGGAUAACUUCAGGUAACUGGGGCUAAUACCGGAUAGGAGCUCCUGCUGCAUGGUGGGGGUUGGAAAGUUUCGGCGGUUGGGGAUGGACUCGCGGCUUAUCAGCUUGGUGGUGGGGUCGUGGCUUACCAAGGCUUUGACGGGUAGCCGGCCUGAGAGGGUGACCGGCCACAUUGGGACUGAGAUACGGCCCAGACUCCUACGGGAGGCAGCAGUGGGGAAUAUUGCACAAUGGGCGGAAGCCUGAUGCAGCAACGCCGCGUGCGGGAUGACGGCCUUCGGGUUGUAAACCGCUUUCGCCUGUGACGAAGCGUGAGUGACGGUAAUGGGUAAAGAAGCACCGGCUAACUACGUG